UCAAGGCCCCCGUUGUGUAGCGGCCUAGCACGCCGCCCUCUCAAGGCGGUAGCGCCGGUUCGAAUCCGGUCG
rnacentral:tRNA from 1 species